UUCUAUGGUGGUUCAGGCUGGGGAGGCUAUGCCUCGCCGGAAUAAGUGCCGGUCUGCAAACCCUGUCUGAAUCACCACCAUC
rfam:Xenorhabdus cabanillasii JM26, WGS project CBXE01000000 data, contig: XENCA_2134_Contig_365